UGAGGAAUAUUGGUCAAUGGGCGAGAGCCUGAACCAGCCAAGUAGCGUGCAGGAUGACGGCCCUAUGGGUUGUAAACUGCUUUUAUGCGGGGAUAAAGUGGGGAACGUGUUCCCUUUUGCAGGUACCAUAUGAAUAAGGACCGGCUAAUUCCGUGCCAGCAGCCGCGGUAAUACGGAAGGUUCGGGCGUUAUCCGGAUUUAUUGGGUUUAAAGGGAGCGUAGGCCGUUUGGUAAGCGUGUUGUGAAAUGUAGGAGCUCAACUUCUAGAUUGCAGCGCGAACUGUCAGACUUGAGUGCGCACAACGUAGGCGGAAUUCAUGGUGUAGCGGUGAAAUGCUUAGAUAUCAUGAAGAACUCCGAUUGCGAAGGCAGCUUACGGGAGCGCAACUGACGCUGAAGCUCGAAGGUGCGGGUAUCGAACAGG
rnacentral:rRNA from 1 species